rnacentral:rRNA from 1 species
CAGCCGCCACGGGAAUACGUAGGUGGCAAGCGUUGUCCGGAAUUAUUGGGCGUAAAGGGCUCGCAGGCGGUUUCUUAAGUCUGAUGUGAAAGCCCCUGGCUCAACCGGGGAGGGUCAUUGGAAACUGGGAAACUUGAGUGCAGAAGAGGAGAGUGGAAUUCCACGUGUAGCGGUGAAAUGCGUAGAGAUGUGGAGGAACACCAGUGGCGAAGGCGACUCUCUGGUCUGUAACUGACGCUGAGGAGCGAAAGCGUGGGGAGCGAACAGGAUUAGAUACCCGCGUAGUCCCUGUCUCUUAUAC